rnacentral:rRNA from 1 species
CUACGGGAGGCAGCAGUGAGGAAUAUUGCACAAUGGGGGGAACCCUGAUGCAGCAACGCCGCGUGGAGGAUGACGCAUUUCGGUGUGUAAACUCCUUUUAUAUGUCAAGAAAAUGACGGUAGCAUAUGAAUAAGCACCGGCUAACUCCGUGCCAGCAGCCGCGGUAAUACGGAGGGUGCAAGCGUUACUCGGAAUCACUGGGCGUAAAGGACGCGUAGGCGGGUUGGAAAGUCAGGUGUGAAAUCCUACAGCUUAACUGUAGAACUGCACUUGAAACUUCUAAUCUAGAGUAUGGGAGGGGGAGAUAGAAUUAGUGGUGUAGGGGUAAAAUCCGUAGAUAUCACUAGGAAUACCUAAAGCGAGGGCGAUCUCCUGGAACAUUACUGACGCUAAGGCGUGAAAGCGUGGGGAGCAAACAGGAUUAGAUACCCCCGUAGUC